CUCGUGGUGAGCCAGCACCACGUUUCUCCCGUAAUGAGCAAGUGCCAGAGCUGAUUGUCGGUUGGAUGUGUCCAAAAGCAAAGACUCCUCCCCGUCGGGGAAUCGAACCCCGGUCUCCCGCGUGACAGGCGGGGAUACUCACCACUAUACUAACGAGGACAGAGGUUAAGGAGAGACGUACACAAGCUAGACAUUUCAUAGCCUCGGGACGCAUCUACACACGACACAAUGCACAGAAGACUACUUCUACUGCGAAUGAGUGCGACCAAGAAAAACAAUUUGAAGCACUUUCCCUAGUCCCAAGCUGCAAGAAGCACUGCUUCCUGGCUCCAGGCCACAUCACAACCUCACCCCCUGCAACAAAAAGAAGACUUGAAUGGGCUUGUCCUAUCAGCAUCCACAUGUUGACAGCAUUUCAUAGAAGCAGGAUGUUGGAUGCAAGGAUCCCGUGCUUUACCUGUGGCAGGGCUGACAGUUCUCUUCUGCAGAGUUUAGAUUAUGGUUGUAUUGGAAGGUUUGGGUAGAAUGAUACAGGCAGGCGGCUGGAUUAGCUCAGUGUUUCUCAACCCAUGGAUUGUGACCCAAAAGCGGGUCACAAGAAUAUAUGAACGAGUCCCAAACAAACUUUAAAAAUGAAUUCUGCUUUAAAGAAGAAAAAAGGGGAAAGCCAUGGCUUUUCCCUUGCAGCUGGCAGAGCUCCGGUUUGCAAGGGACUGCUUGGGGCCCCUUAUGUGCAACACACUGGUGGGGAGUGAGAGGCACUGGGUCAGAACUGGCUAUCUAAG
rnacentral:tRNA from 1 species